rnacentral:rRNA from 1 species
AUACGGAGGGUCCAAGCGUUAUCGGGAAUCAUUGGGUUUAAAGGGUCCGCAGGCGGUCAAUUAAGUCAGAGGUGAAAGCCCAUCGCUCAACGAUGGAACUGCCUUUGAUACUGGUUGACUUGAGUUAUACGGAAGUAGAUAGAAUAAGUAGUGUAGCGGUGAAAUGCAUAGAUAUUACUUAGAAUACCGAUUGCGAAGGCAGUCUACUACGUAUAUACUGACGCUGAGGGACGAAAGCGUGGGGAGCGAACAGGAUUAGAUACCCCGGUAGUCC